rnacentral:rRNA from 1 species
UACGGGGGGAGCAAGCGUUGUUCGGAUUUACUGGGCGUAAAGGGCGCGUAGGCGGCGCGACAAGUCACUUGUGAAAUCUCCGGGCUUAACUCGGAGCGGCCAAGUGAUACUGUCGUGCUAGAGUACGGAAGGGGCAACUGGAAUUCUCGGUGUAGCGGUGAAAUGCGUAGAUAUCGAGAGGAACACCUGCGGCGAAGGCGGGUUGCUGGGCCGACACUGACGCUGAAGCGCGAAAGCCAGGGGAGCGAACGGG